CUGCGGAGGAUCAUUACUAGAGCAAAGGAUAGACAGCGCCCGCGGAGCUCGCUCCCGGGGCUACCCUACUCCCGUAGGGUUUAGAGUCGUCGGGCCUCUCGGAGAAGCUCGGUCCUGAACUCCACCCUUGAAUAAACUACCUUUGUUGCUUUGGCGGGCCGCCUCGUGCCAGCGGCUUCGGCUGUUGAGUGCCCGCCAGAGGACCCCAACUCUUGUUUUUAGUGAUGUCUGAGUACUAUAUAAUAGUUAAAACUUUCAACAACGGAUCUCUUGGUUCUGGCAUCGAUGAAGAACGCAGCGAAAUGCGAUAAGUAAUGUGAAUUGCAGAAUUCAGUGAAUCAUCGAAUCUUUGAACGCACAUUGCGCCCUCUGGUAUUCCGGGGGGCAUGCCUGUUCGAGCGUCAUUAUAACCACUCAAGCUCUCGCUUGGUAUUGGGGUUCGCGGUUUCGCGGCCCCUAAAAUCAGUGGCGGUGCCUGUCGGCUCUACGCGUAGUAAUACUCCUCGCGAUUGAGUCCGGUAGGUCUACUUGCCAGCAACCCCUAAUUUUUUUUAAGGUUGACCUCGGAUCAGGUAGGGAUACCCGCUGAACUUAAGCAUAUCAAUAAGCGGAGGAAAAGAAACCAACAGGGAUUACCUCAGUAACGGCGAGUGAAGCGGUAACAGCUCAAAUUUGAAAGCUGGCUCUUUUAGGGUCCGCGUUGUAAAUUUGUAGAAGAUGCUUCGGGUGUGGCCCCGGUCUAAGUUCC
rnacentral:rRNA from 1 species